AGCGAACGCUGGCGGCAGGCUUAACACAUGCAAGUCGAACGGGCAUCUUCGGAUGUCAGUGGCAGACGGGUGAGUAACACGUGGGAACGUACCCUUCGGUUCGGAAUAACUCAGGGAAACUUGAGCUAAUACCGGAUACGCCCUUUUGGGGAAAGGUUUACUGCCGAAGGAUCGGCCCGCGUCUGAUUAGCUUGUUGGUGGGGUAACGGCCUACCAAGGCGACGAUCAGUAGCUGGUCUGAGAGGAUGAUCAGCCACACUGGGACUGAGACACGGCCCAGACUCCUACGGGAGGCAGCAGUGGGGAAUAUUGGACAAUGGGCGCAAGCCUGAUCCAGCCAUGCCUCGUGAGUGAUGAAGGCCUUAGGGUUGUAAAGCUCUUUUGUCCGGGACGAUAAUGACGGUACCGGAAGAAUAAGCCCCGGCUAACUUCGUG
rnacentral:rRNA from 1 species